rnacentral:rRNA from 1 species
UACGUAGGUGGCAAGCGUUGUCCGGAUUUAUUGGGUUUAAAGGGUGCGUAGGCGGCUUUGUAAGUCAGUGGUGAAAUAUGGCAGCUCAACUGUCAGGGUGCCAUUGAUACUGCGGAGCUUGAGUACAGAUGAGGUAGGCGGAAUUGACGGUGUAGCGGUGAAAUGCUUAGAUAUCGUCAAGAACACCGAUAGCGAAGGCAGCUUACUGGGCUGUAACUGACGCUGAGGCACGGAAGUGUGGGGAUCAAACAGG